rnacentral:rRNA from 1 species
CUACGGGUUGCAGCAGUGAGGAAUAAUGCACAAUGGGGGGAACCCUGAUGCAGCAACGCCGCGUGGAGGAUGACGCAUUUCGGUGUGUAAACUCCUUUAUAUGUCAAGAAAAUGACGGUAGCAUAUGAAUAAGCACCGGCUAACUCCGUGGCCAGCAGCCGCGGUAAUACGGAGGGUGCAAGCGUUACUCGGAAUCACUGGGCGUAAAGGACGCGUAGGCGGGUUGGAAAGUCAGGUGUGAAAUCCUACAGCUUAACUGUAGAACUGCACUUGAAACUUCUAAUCUAGAGUAUGGGAGGGGGAGAUGGAAUUAGUGGUGUAGGGGUAAAAUCCGUAGAUAUCACUAGGAAUAUCCAAAGCGAAGGCGAUCUGCUGGAACAUAACUGACGCUAAGGCGUGAAAGCGUGGGGAGCAAACAAGAUUAGAUACCCCCGUAGUC